UGGGGAAUUUUGGACAAUGGGGGAAACCCUGAUCCAGCCAUCGCGCGUGUGCGAUGAAGGCCUUCGGGUUGUAAAGCACUUUUGGCAGGAAAGAAACGUCAUGGGUUAAUACCCCGUGAAACUGACGGUACCUGCAGAAUAAGCACCGGCUAACUACGUGCCAGCAGCCGCGGUAAUACGUAGGGUGCAAGCGUUAAUCGGAAUUACUGGGCGUAAAGCGUGCGCAGGCGGUUCGGAAAGAAAGAUGUGAAAUCCCAGAGCUCAACUUUGGAACUGCAUUUUUAACUACCGGGCUAGAGUGUGUCAGAGGGAGGUGGAAUUCCGCGUGUAGCAGUGAAAUGCGUAGAUAUGCGGAGGAACACCGAUGGCGAAGGCAGCCUCCUGGGAUAACACUGACGCUCAUGCACGAAAGCGUGGGGAGCAAACAGG
rnacentral:rRNA from 1 species